UACGUAGGGUGCGAGCGUUGUCCGGAGUUACUGGGCGUAAAGAGCUCGUAGGUGGUUUGUCGCGUCGUCUGUGAAAUUCCGGGGCUUAACUCCGGGCGUGCAGGCGAAACUGGCAAACUGGAGUGCUGUAGGGGAGACUGGAAUUCCUGGUGUAGCGGUGGAAUGCGCAGAUAUCAGGAGGAACACCGAUGGCGAAGGCAGGUCUCUGGGCAGUUACUGACACUGAGGAGCGAAAGCAUGGGGAGCGAACAGG
rnacentral:rRNA from 1 species